AAGAUGGGGAGAGCAUAACUCACAAGACUAAUGUGGUCCAUAGCCAGCUCCAGUCCAGGAGGUGAAAGAUUUGAAGGAUGUCUUCUCAAACUCUAUCUCUUCCUCAAACCCACACCCUCUAAAAUGAGCUGAGAUGGAUGACUUGACUGUAGGGGGAAAAUCAGUCCAAGGAACAGAUGAACUCAUGAAAGAAAAAUAGAAUGGAAGGACAUGACCUUCACACUUGAUGGUCUGCACAUUUAUUUCUACAUUGGAC
rnacentral:lncRNA from 11 species